CACCCGGUCAGUUUCCACCAGACUAUCAUGCCCUGGCAUUCCUGGCUCUGCCCUCCAAGGUUGCCGGAGGUUGGCGAGCAGCACCUGGCAGACGCAGCCUUGUUUUUGUCUGACUGAGAGGUCUGGAGGAAACACAGCGUUCACUAAAGAUAUUUGCUACAGUGGGUUAAACUCUCCUGAUUAGCAAGUCAAUCUAAUACAGGAAUCAUUAAAAGGAGACGAAAAGGGAAAGACAUCAAGGAGUAAAAUAAAAGACUCUUCACACACUCACAUUUUUGGACUCUGGAAGGAAACCCAUGCAGACACAGGAGGAGAACAUGCAAACUCCACACAGAAAGAACCUGGACUGCUCCACCUGGGGAUCGAACCCAGGCCCUUCUUGCUGUGAGACACCGUGCCACCCCUAAGUAAAGUAUGUUUCGGCUAGAAAAGUAUAACUAUGUAAGGAGGAAGGUUGGUUAGAAGGUAGAUUGGUGGAGUAGUAUGUAUAUGUACAGAGUGUUGGGGUACAUAUAAGUUGAUGAAUAUGUAGUUAUGAAGGUCUGUAUCUUAAUAUGUUAUUUUGAUAUGUGUGUGUGUGUGUGUGUGUGUGUGUGUGUGUUGUGUGUUUGAAUUUGAAUGUAUUGUGUAUUCAGCUCCCAUCAGCGGGUUAAACUCUCCUGAUUAGCAAGUCAAUCUAAUACAAGAAUCAUUUAAAGGCGACAAAAAGGGAAAGACAUCAAGGAGUAAAAUAAAAAGCUCUUCACACACUCACCCAGUCUCCCAUCUCAGCAAGCAAGAGAAAACCAGUGUGCACUGUUAAACCACUAAACUAAAUCAUUCUACAGUCCAUUAUAAACUGGAAACACUGUCCAGUCCUCAAAAUGAUUUACUUACACAGGAUCUGAGAUAUUUAGACUAAAAAGGGCUUUUAAAUAUUGAUUACUGAAUUGAUUUCUGGUCGUAUAGGUUAGGAACUCAGUCCAGUGUGCAAGCAACAACAGAAAAACUAAGUCUUCAAGGGUAAAACAAACAUAAAUAAAUACAUACAUAUUCCUUAUUAUAUUAUAUAUUAUAAGAAUACAGUUUGAAUGAUUUGUCUUUCCUCUGAAGGGCUUUAUUAUGAGUUUGGUGUUGGUCUCUCUCUGUGUUUGCUUGCCUUUCUUACACGUUACAAGGUCAAAGUACAUCUGAGUCCAGACUCGAGAUUUUCUUCCCUCAUUUACAGCAGGAGAAAAAAAAAGAGAGAAUUAUGGACAUGGAGCCAUGAGUUCAACCGUCUGAGCUUUUAUACAUUUACCAUGUCCACUGUUUAAUUUUAGUUCAUCUGAUGAUUAUAAAGGGAAUACAAUACUAAAAUUAAUACUAAUAAUUAAUAAUAAACACAUUAUUUAAAAAAAAUGUGCAGUAGGAUUUUAAUUCGUUUUGAAAAUGUACUUGCAGUAAUGGGUUUAUUUUAUUUGUUUGUCUGUAAGAGAGUGAACAAUAUUUCCUUUCAGUUUUAC